UACGGGGGGGGCAAGCGUUGUUCGGAAUUACUGGGCGUAAAGGGCUCGUAGGUGGCCAACUAAGUCAGACGUGAAAUCCCUCGGCUUAACCUGGGAACUGCGUCGGAUACUGGAUGGCUUGAAUCCGGGAGAGGGAUGCAGAAUUCCAGGUGUAGCGGUGAAAUGCGUAGAUAUCUGGAGGAAUACCGGUGGCGAAGGCGGCAUCCUGGACCGGCAUUGACGCUGAAGCGCGAAAGCUAGGGGAGCAAACGGG
rnacentral:rRNA from 1 species